CUGAAGAAGACCAUGAAAGAGCACAUCAAAUGGUUUUACUGAGAAAGCUUUGUCUGCCAAUGUUGUGUUUUCUGCUUCAUACAAUAUUGCAUAGUACCGGGCAAUAUCAGGAAUGCCUACAGUUAGCAGAUAUGGUAUCCUCUGAGCGCCACAAGCUGUAUCUGGUAUUUUCUAAGGAAGAACUAAGGAAGUUGCUACAGAAGUUAAGAGAAUCCUCUCUAAUGCUUCUAGACCAGGGACUUGACCCAUUAGGAUAUGAAAUUCAGUCAUAAUAUAAUGUAAUCUUUGUAAUCUCACUAAUUUUCAUGAUAAGUGGGUUUUUUUGUAGAAUAUACAUUUUGUAAUUACUGGAUUUUUUCUUUUGCAUUAUUCUGAGGGGAAAUGUAAAAUUUAGACAUUUGAAUUUUGUUCUUUUCAGAAUAUUAUGGUGACAGUUGAAAAUUUAAUGUAUUAUAUCAGUAUUUCCCUAAGUGUGUUUAUUAAUAAAAUUAUGUAAAAAUUAAAAUGACUUGUACUUAGCGAUUCCAGGAUUGUCUCUAUAUUAUGUAAUAAGGAAAUUAAAUUUCUCUCUUAAUAUUG